UACAAUGAGCUCACAUCCAGCGGCAUGCCCAGGGACUGGCAGAGAGCCAGCAUCCUACAAAUCCACAGAAUACUACACAGCAAUAAAAAGGGAUGAACGAGUGGUCCGUGUAACCACAUGGCUAAAUCUCCAAAGCAUCAUGCCAAGUGAACAAAGCCAGACCCAAAAGACACAAACUGUAUGCUUCCACUGGAAAGGCCAUGUGAAGUCCCAGUGAGAAGGCGGCCAUCUACAAGUCAGGAGGAGAGCCCUCCCCAGAACCCGACCCUGCUGGCAGCCUGAUCUCAGACUUCCAGCCUCCAGAACUCCUGUAAGCAUGGCUGCAAGGUGGCUGCUGUGGUUCCAGCCCUCAACUGCAGACACAAUCCUGUCCAGGGGACAAGAAAAGGAACUAUUUCUUCCCAGCCUGGAAGAAUCAUGGACAGGAGGGCGUGUGCCCAGCCAAGUGAGAUUUCCUCAGCCUUCAUCAGAACCGGGAUAGCAGUGUGCUUUAAAGCAUGGACUCCAGAGUCAGGCAGUGCGCAUCUGACUGCCAGUGAGAACUCCCUACCCUGGGCUGGGGGCAGGGGGCUUCAGCCAUCAGCAAAGACACUCGCUAACUCGGCCACCUGUGCCGCCAUCCUCACAUGGGGCGGAAGCAGCCAGGGUAAAGACGGUUCCUGUUUCCACAACAGAGUCUCCACGCUGCCUCCCACUUUCAAACCAGAAACUCUCGAGUAGACAGAGAUGCCUUGUGAUCCAAUGAAGCCUGGCCCUGCCCAAAGAUCACCACUCUGCCCAUCCUAGGGGAUCCAGAAAUGCUUCUGAAUUUGUCCUCUGAGGACCUGGACC